rnacentral:rRNA from 1 species
ACGCUCGACACCUACGGAGGCAGCAGUGGGGAAUAUUGCACAAUGGGGGAAACCCUGAUGCAGCGACGCCGCGUGAGCGAAGAAGUAUUUCGGUAUGUAAAGCUCUAUCAGCAGGGAAGAAACUGACGGUACCUGACUAAGAAGCACCGGCUAAAUACGUGUCAGCAGCCGCGGUAAUCUGAGCGGGCUGGCAAGGC